UACGAGGGGGCUAGCGUUGCUCGGAAUCACUGGGCGUAAAGCGCACGUAGGCGGAUUGCUAAGUCAGGGGUGAAAUCCUGGAGCUCAACUCCAGAACUGCCUUUGAUACUGGCGAUCUCGAGUCCGGGAGAGGUGAGUGGAACUGCGAGUGUAGAGGUGAAAUUCGUAGAUAUUCGCAAGAACACCAGUGGCGAAGGCGGCUCACUGGCCCGGUACUGACGCUGAGGUGCGAAAGCGUGGGGAGCAAACAGG
rnacentral:rRNA from 1 species